rnacentral:ncRNA from 1 species
CGGUGUCCGCCUGUAAUGGGCGGGUGAAAAGGGAAUCCGGUGCGAAUCCGGAACGAUGCCGUCACUGUGUCAGGGAGCCCGUGUCAGGAAUCACUGGGAAACCGGGAAGAGGAGACGGGCGAUGAACGAAGUCAGGAGACCUGCCGGGGAGUG